UGGAAGGCGGUGGGAGACGCAGCCCACCCUGCAGCACCCAUCCUCCCCCGUCCCCGGCCCAGCGGGCUCCUUCCUCCCCUCACACGACAAGUUCGAAAUCAAAACAAAAGGUGCAAAACUGGUUUCAGGUGGCCACGGCCGAGCGCCGGGGGCCCAGCGCGGGGGACGCCAAGGCGAGCGAGGGCUCGCAGGACCCCGGCCCCCCGCGCGGUCGGCUCCCGAACAGCCCCCGCCGCGGCCGCAGUCCGCACACGCCCUCCCUCCCCUCGGCCCCGGAGGCGGCGGUGCCGGGGAGGGGCGCAGCCCCGGGGCCCAGUGACAGCACAGCGGGCCGGGACGGGCAAAGGCCCGGCGGGAUGCUGGGGGACCAGUCCUAGGCCGGAGCCGCAGCCCCGAACGGGGGCGACCGACGGUCCGAGCCGCGCCAGGCCGCGAGCGGACGGCCGGGCCCGCGUCCGCGGCGCCGCCGGGCCACGCUCCCCUCCCGAUCUCCCCACCCGGGGCGCAGGGGCCGAGAGGGGCCGCGGCGGAGCCGGCAUCCGGGGCGGGGGCACGCACUCACCGGCGGGGAGGGGAGGAGCAGCCGGCGUCUCCGCCAGCGCCGUGGCUCGAGCUCAAGCGCCGGCUCCUGCCGCUGCGGCCGCCGCGCCCGGUCCAUCCCCCCCAACCACCCCCCCUCCCGGCCCUCCCCCCGCGCCGCCGCCGCCGCCGCCGCCGCCGCCGCCGCCUCAGCCCGGCGCGGGAGCGCGAACCGGCGCGAGGGGGCGAGAGCGCGCGCGCCCGCCGCCGCCGCCCACAACCUCCGCCCCCAGCCGGCGGCGCACGCGCGAGGCGGCGGCGGGCGCGCGCACGCUCCGGGGGCGGGGCCGGCCCCGGAAGGCGUGGCCCGGAAGGCGUGGCCCCGCCCCCCCGCGCGGUCGCCUUGCUGCCCGCGGUGGGCUCCGCCUGGCGGGGCGCCGGGCGCCGGGAGCCGGGAGCCGGGAGCCGCGAGCCGCGGCCUGCAGUCUGGCCUCUUUUCCGGAGCACCGGCCGUCAGGAGCGCCGCGGGCUUGA
rnacentral:lncRNA from 1 species